UACGUAGGUGGCAAGCGUUGUCCGGAUUUACUGGGCGUAAAGGGUGCGUAGGCGGACCUUUAAGUGAGAUGUGAAAUCCCCGAGCUUAACUUGGGGGCUGCAUUUCAAACUGGAGGUCUAGAGUGCAGGAGAGGAGAGUGGAAUUCCUAGUGUAGCGGUGAAAUGCGUAGAGAUUAGGAAGAACACCAGUGGCGAAGGCGACUCUCUGGACUGUAACUGACGCUGAGGCACGAA
rnacentral:rRNA from 1 species